UUUUUCCACAUCCAUCCGUUAGUAAUCUCUCAUUCAUCUGUUUCGAUACUUUUUUUCAUAUCUUACGGGUGCGAUUCCUAAUCCGGCGGCAGUAAUCAAUGGCGAGAACGAAGCAUUUCGCAACCAGAGCACGAGAUCGCAAUCAACCUAAUGCGGCGGCGGCGGCAGGUCCUAGUGCGACACCGACGAGAAGAGGCAGCAGCCAAGGUGAAGAAGCUCAACAGACAACUCCUACUACAGCUUCUUCACCAGCAACAACCGCCUCCGGUAGAAAAGGACUAAGCGAACUACACAAGCUAUGCCUAAAAGUUCCAAGAAGAAGACUUUCCGUUACAAGCCUGGAACUGUUGCCCUCAGAGAGAUUCGCCAUUUCCAGAAGUCCACCAAACUUCUUAUCCCUUCUGCUCCUUUCAUCCGAGAAGUCAGAAGUAUCACCCACAACCUUGCCGCUGCCUAUGUUACGCGUUGGACUGCUGAAGCUCUUAUUGCUCUUCAAGAGGCGGCAGAAGAUUUCUUAGUUGGCUUGUUCUCUGAUGCAAUGCUUUGCGCUAUCCAUGCAAAACGUGUUACUCUAAUGAGAAAAGAUUUUGAGCUUGCACGCCGGCUUGGAGGAAAAGGCAGACCCUUUUGAUACAAACUCAUCCACUACUACUUCUAUUACAUUAGCCAACAAAGUUUCGCAGGUUGUAUGACAUUAUUCAGUCCUUAUUAUGUGUGAUCUGAUCGAAACUUCCUUUAGAAACAUAACUGCCAAACCUUGAGUUUGAUUUCAGGUUGUAAAACUUAUCUCUCCUUGUUAGUAUCUUAUCUGAUUUUCCUUGGAAUUGA